CACGUAGAUCGUGAAUCAUCGAAUCUUUGAACGCAAUUUGCACCUCGUGACUUUUGUCACAAGGUAUACUUGUUUGAGUAUCUAAAACAAACUCACCUUCCUUUCGGGGCAAAGUGGACUUGAGGUUCAAUUUUAUUGAUUGUUCCUUUAAAUGUGUGAUUCGUUUGGCAACUCUCCGUUUAGAGUCUGAACAAACUAUUGGGAUAACAUCCUACAAUCGUUUGCUAUGACUCGCUUAUUUUGAACGUCGAGACGCUUGAAUCAAUCUCGGAUAGAUAACCCUAAAAGACGUUUGAAAUCCAUGUGAAUAACAGAAACGAACGUGUAAAAACGUGAGUCUCUCUAUUCUCUUUAUAAGAUCUCAAAUCAAGUAAGGAUACCCGCUGAACUUAAGCAUAUCAAUAAGCGGAGG
rnacentral:rRNA from 1 species